GAUGAACGCUGGCGGCGUGCCUAAUACAUGCAAGUCGAGCGAACAGACGAGGAGCUUGCUGCUCUGACGUUAGCGGCGGACGGGUGAGUAACACGUGGAUAACCUACCUAUAAGACUGGGAUAACUUCGGGAAACCGGAGCUAAUACCGGAUAAUAUUUUGAACCGCAUGGUUCAAUAGUGAAAGACGGUCUUGCUGUCACUUAUAGAUGGAUCCGCGCUGGAUUAGCUAGUUGGUAAGGUAAAGGCUUACCAAGGCAACGAUGCGUAGCCGACCUGAGAGGGGGAUCGGCCACACUGGAACUGAGACACGGUCCAGACUCCUGCGGGAGGCAGCAGUAGGGAAUCUUCCGCAAUGGGCGAAAGCCUGACGGAGCAACGCCGCGCGAGUGAUGAAGGUCUUCGGAUCGUAAAACUCUGUUAUUAGGGAAGAACAUAUGUGUAAGUAACUGUGCACAUCUUGACGGUACCGAAUCAGAAAGCCACGGCUAACUACGUG
rnacentral:rRNA from 1 species